UGGGCAAUCUGCCCUUCACUCUGGGACAAGCCCUGGAAACGGGGUCUAAUACCGGAUAAUACUCCUGCCUGCAUGGGUGGGAGUUGAAAGCUCCGGCGGUGAAGGAUGAGCCCGCGGCCUAUCAGCUUGUUGGUGAGGUAAUGGCUCACCAAGGCGACGACGGGUAGCCGGCCUGAGAGGGUGACCGGCCACACUGGGACUGAGACACGUCCCAGACUCCGUACGGGAGGNAG
rnacentral:rRNA from 1 species